UAGCUGUCCAUCUAAAUCGGUUCUGUCCUUCCAUAAGAUACAGUUCUACAGCUCCAGGUUUCACUUUUCAGAUUCCCUUGCGGCGAAGCAGGUAUGAGUGGAAGUGGUAGAUGCCCCUGUCCGGGAGGGGGAAAUUUCCCCCUUAUUCCUCUUGAGUUCUUGUGGCUGGCCUCAUAGUAAAAUGAACACAAGACAGAUUAAAGAGAAAACUCGAAUGUAAUGCGUACACGUGGGAGAUCCUAAAAUUAACGCUCAGAAGUGACCAAAGCAGGCAGCUUUUAUACUUUUUACACACAGAAACACUAAAUUUGUGAGGAUUUGACAGGACAAAGAUACUUAGGUUUGGGUGCUUCAUUAGUAAGCAAUCUAAGCAGAGUUUGGACUUGUGGUGGUAAAUUAGUAAAAAAGUAACAAGGUGUGUUUAUACAGGCCUCUCCGCCCUGAAUUCCACCCCCUCCCAGCCCCACCCUUUUUGCUUGAGGAAGAUUGUUCCUGAGCUAUCAUCUGUGCCAACCUUCCUCUGUUUUAUGUGGGAUGACGCUGCAGUGUGGCUUGAUGAGCGGUGCUAGGUCCGCCCCGGGAUCCGGACCUGCAAACCCUGGGCCGCCGAAGCAGAGCACGCCAACUUAACCCUUAUGCCGUUGGGUCAGCCUCGUGAGGAAGCUGUUUUUCACAUGGGAGAUUCGUUUGCUGCUUUCAGGGGGUAAAUGGAAAGGGUCAAAGUGCAAUUUUUGCAUCAGCUGCUUCUCAAAUAACUAAGUCAAAUAAUCAGUGUGCCAUUGUAGCAUAUUUUGGGGGCAGUCUGCCCUGGGUCCCAACACUGCUUUUGAGUCAAGAUUGCAAGACUACUGUUAGUUAUGUCUGACCAGAUACUGAAAGUCAAAGGUCAGCAGAUGGAAGCAGAGCUGGUUGGGACAUGGAGAAUUGUCUCAGAGCACGUCUCGAUGAUACUUCAUCAAGAGUCUGCUGCUUCCAGGCUUGCUUUCUUCAGUCAGCUGAAUGCAGGGAACGAGGAAGCUCCAGGGCAGAGCUGCAAGAUGGAAGGAGCCAGGAUCCCUGAGUCGGCCUGCAACAGACCGCCUGCUGACCAGGAACACCUGCCGUGGAAGUUUACCAGAGCGAGAGAGAGACUUCUGUUGUGCUUUGGCCAGUUAAUGUAGACGUGUGAUGUGACAGAGUUGGGACGUUUUAUUAGGCUGCAGUACUUUCUUAGAGGUGUAAUCUGAAGGAGGCUACUACUCAGGUGAAAACUGGUGAAUGAGGAUUUGUGAUGCCAACUGUGAAGGUUGCCAGCAGUGGAGGAGAGACUGAUCUUCAGAGCACUCUCGUUUAAUAAUGAUCUUAGGGCUAAGAAUUAUUAGUUUUUAUUGAUUUCCUAGAAUUUACAUAAUUGAAAAAUUAGCAAAUGUAUAAGGUAUGUAUGAUGUGGCAUUUUCCAAACUUAAGUCAUUUCCCUACUCCUUCAUUGUUUUUGCUGUGUUUAUACCACAGCAUUUUAUCUCACUCUUGUUUUUUGUUUGUGUCUGUUUGUUUGGUAACGUCUGUUGCCAAGCUUCCUUUUUUUGCUUGAGGAAGAUUCUCCCUGAGCUAACAUCUGUGCCAGUCUUCCUCUAUUUUGCAUGUGGGAUGCUGCCACAGCAUGGCCGAUGAGUGGUGUAGGUCUGCACCUGGGACCCGAACCCACCAACCUGGGCCACUGAAGUGGAGUGUGCCGAACUUAACCACUACACCACAGGGCCGGCCCCUUUCUCACUUUUUUCUUUUUAAACUUAGCAUUGUCAUAAGAAGUAAUACAUGUGGAGUCAUAGGUUGGUGUGUUAUUUUUUCCUAAUAUCUAUUUGAAUAAUACAUACUUAUUUAAAAAUCCCAACAUGUGGUAGAUAACUUUAUUUUAAACGCCACUAGUGAUAUUUCUAUCAUACCUGGGAAAUGCUGUUCACAUAAUGAAUAUUAUUUUUUAGGAUCUUCAGUGCUUAAUCCAUAAAAUUCUAAUAGAAAUAGAUGCAGUCACAGGAACUAGCGGACGUACUGUGUCUAACAGGGCUUUGGUUACAGCUUUUUCCUAUCACAGAUUAGUAUUCUAUUUGAUUAAUAUCUACAUUUGUUUGUGACUGAGGGACAACGAAAACAGUGUAUUUAAAUAAUUUUUGAACAGUGUUAAGCAGGAUGUGCUUCUAAAGUUAGUGAGGAAUGGGCCUAAGGAAGUGCUAAUGACCGUGACAUUAAGAUACAAAAAUCUUGGAAAAUACUGAUACUUGUGGUAGAGAAAGAAUUUGAUAAUCCCGUGAUCCGAGGGUGAAGAAGAUAAUGAGGCUUGACCGGCCCCGGGGAAGCGUUGUUAGAUUAGUGACUUAAAUUUCAGGUAUUGAGGAAAGAAUUCCAGUAGGGAAGUUUUUCGCAUUUUCCUCUUCUUCUCCUUUUAUUUGCCCAUAUCUUUUUGUUCACUUGAGAGUAUGUAAGAUGUUGUCCUGGGGACAUUUCCUAUCAGUGUCAGCAGGAAAGAGUACUUUGUUGGAGGGGUGCCCUGGCGAUCCUUGGUAGCUGAGGAAGUACCCACGUGCUGCUUCUCUCCCCUCUCAAAUGGUUUUAAAGUUCUAGAAUUUGCCUAAACCAUUGGAUUUAUAUAUAAUUUAAAUGUUAACUUCUUCCGUCAUUUUGGUAAGUUUGUCCCUUGGUGUAUAAAUUAAUACUUUAAAUUUGUUCUAAAACAUCUGUGUUUAAAGUUGAAAAGCAAGUUGCUUAUUUCAGGUGUUCCAGAACUUUGUAGAUGAGUCUUAUACACUAUAGACAGUGAGCACAUUGAAACUUAGUCUUUUUGGUUUUCCUUUUGAAGAGUCUAACUUCAUAUAUAGUCCUGUUUUCGCUCCUGACUUCCUUUACCCAUUUUUUUAUGAUUUGAAUCAUUAACACCCUAUACCAGCAGGCAGGAUAGUAAAAGCAGGCAAGGUAAAUAAAGGAAAAGUGAUAGAACUUCA
rnacentral:lncRNA from 1 species